UAGUAGCAGCUCUCAACCAAGUAAAAUAAGUGUUGUUACACAGAAAAGAGGAAGUGCAUAUUGAAAUUUCUCAAGACACAGGAAGAGAAACUUGCAAAAUGUCCGCAUAUGUAAAGUUAAACCUUAUCUACAUUUCAAUCGGAUUUUGCCCCAUUUUAGGUGUUGAAAGCUUCAGUGGUGGGUCAAAUCGUACAAUAACUGUUAAACCUGGAGGAUCUGUCACCAUCCCGUGUUAUUAUGAUGAGAAAAACCCACCAAGGAGGAAAUACUGGUUUUCAGAACAUGGUCAAUCUAAUAAAUACACAAACACAACAGAGGAGAAUCUGUCAGUAAUUGAUCAUCCUGAUCAGAGUCUCUUUACUGUAACUAUGAGGAACCUUCAGGAGAACAAACAUAAUGGACAAUAUUAUUGUACUGUAGAGACUGGACAAAAACCGAAUGUCACAUAUGUCACAUAUGAGCUUUAUCUAAAGGUUCAUUCUGCUCCUGAUGUGUCUGUGAUGAGCAGCAGUGUAUCUGGACAUGAGGGUGGUAAUGUCAGUGUUCAGUGUUUCUACAGUUCUGAAUAUAAGAAAAAACUCAAACGCUGGUGCAGAUAUAAAGAUGAGAAGUGUUUCAGAAAGAAGACUAACACAUCCCAGAAUUCAUCAGUGCAGAUCAGUGAUGAUGGUGAAAACUUCUUCACUGUGCUGAUGACUGGACUGACACUCUCUGAUUCUGGAUGGUAUUACUGCUCUGCUGGAGAUCAAAUUGUUCCUGUUCAACUCACUGUAACAGAUGCAUUAUCAUGUGCUGUCAACAACAAAACGUUAGUAUUUAUUAUUUUCUCUACACUGUAAAUGAUUUUCUUAUUAUUAUCAUCGUCUAAAUACUAUAAACUUGCCCAUGUUUUGAACUCUAAUAUAGUCAUGUCCUUAUUGCUCUGGUUAUUUUCAUUUGUCUUUUUUCAUUUGUCUUCACAGAAAGAAAACAGGGAAUCACAUGAAUAAUACAACUGCAUAUGAUGAAAAACAAAAGUAGUGCACAUGUCCUCUUUAGAAUAACAAAUUUAGUGUUUAAAAUAUCUCCAAAACUUUAGGGCAGACAACAUGUAAUAACAGAUUUAUAUAAAUAACGUUGAGCUUGGAUGUACUUUAUUACAGAUAAAAUAAAAUAUUAUACUUCUUCCCUCCAUGUCUCACAGCGGUAUUGAACUCCUGACUGUGUGGUUUCCAGUUUCUGCAGCUCUCCUGCUGUUGGUUCUGUUGUUGGCUGCUGUUGUUAUCUGGAUUAGAAGACGGAAACCAAAGCAAGAUGACCAGACAAUCAGACAGAGAAACAACAGCAGCACCACCAACCCAAUCUACACUACACCAGAAGAUCCUGUGAUAUACAGCUCUAUAAAUGAUGAAACUCCAAAUGAUGUCAACAGUGAGAUAACCUACAGUACCAUUGACAACAUUCCAGGGAGUGUAGCACCUCUAACAGGGGGAGGCCUCUACAGCACUGUGGCUCCACACUGA